ACUCAUGGAAGAUGCCAUCAGACAGCCACAGCAGCCCUAGGCCUUGGCAGAACUGUCACUGAGAUCUCAGUAUCCCCCUCCCUUCCCCUUCAUGUUUGGAUGUGUAUCAUCUAUGGGAUGAAAGUGGCCCACAAUAAAUUACUGCAGUGUCGCCUAGCAGAAUGUUGCUUUCUAAACAUGUGUCAUGAUUUGCAAAGGCAGGAUGAGGACACAAAUGAGAAUCCAAAAGGAAAUGUCCAGAGCAAUGGAAUGGAACAGUUGAAAGGGAGAGAUUGGAGAACGAGGCAGGCCCUCCCAUCGACCCAUGACCACCAGAAGAGGCAGCCGCAGACACCAACACUCACGUAAAGACAAGAGGACAGAAGAAUGCGACAAAAGGGACUCAACCCAACUUGAACUUUCGCAAGACCACGGAAAUACAGUGAAGAUAACGAACCUAUGCGACAAACUGAUCAAAUCCGAUGUCUCUAUUAAGAAAUCUACUCAAAGGAGCAAAAAUGGAAUACUAAGAGCAUCACUUGCUGAACUUUGAAGUGCACCUGAUAUU